rnacentral:lncRNA from 1 species
UUUUAUGUUUUUUGUUUUAGACGGUUUUUCUUUGUCCGUUUCUGACGAAAUUUCGGCAGAGAGGUAUUUUAAAAUACCUCAUUUAUGUGAUUUUAUUUUAUUUUCUUUUUAUUAUUAUUUUUGAUAUUUCUUUAUUUUUAUUUUUUAUUUAUUUUUAUUUUCGUUUUUUUUAUUAUUAUAUAUGUUAUUUUUUAUUUAUAUUUUUAUUGUAUUUUCGUUUUUUAUUAUUAUUAUUAUUAUAUAUUAUUAUUAUUUUUUUUAGUAGUUUUAUUAUUAGGUAUUUUUUUUUUCUGUCAUUUUUUUAGUGGUCCAAUUUAUUUCAUCCUGGUCCAGGCCCAAGAGGGGCAAUUUUGUCCGAUUGGAGUAAAAUUCAUCAGCAGAACCCUAAUUUCUGACACUUUAAAUAGUGCAAUUAAUGCACAGUCCCCGAGGUCAAAAAAAUUCAGCCGCAAAAAAAAACAAACAACAGAUUCAUCUUCUUCAAUCAAAAAUCAAAAUCAAAACAGAACAAAAAAAUCAAAAAAAAUAUAUAUCAUCAUCGCUGUUCAUCAUCACCAUCAUCACCAACAACAAUCAAAUCCGAAACCCACAACAAUUUUAAACCAUUACCGUGACAACAUCACCAUAACCAUAUCAUUACAGUAACAACAUCAACAGAACCCAAACCAUAACAACAGAA